GGCGGGGGGUGCUAUACAUGCAAGUCGAGCGAACGGACGAGAGUGCUUGCACUCUCUGAUGUUAGCGGCGGACGGGUGAGUAACACGUGGGUAACCUACCUAUAAGACUGGGAUAACUUCGGGAAACCGGAGCUAAUACCGGAUAAUAUUUAGCUUCGCAUGAAGCAAUAGUGAAAGACGGCUCUGCUGUCACUUAUAGAUGGACCCGCGGUGUAUUAGCUAGUUGGUGAGGUAACGGCUCACCAAGGCAACGAUACAUAGCCGACCUGAGAGGGUGAUCGGCCACACUGGGACUGAGACACGGCCCAGACUCCUACGGGAGGCAGCAGUAGGGAAUCUUCCGCAAUGGACGAAAGUCUGACGGAGCAACGCCGCGUGAGUGAAGAAGGUUUUCGGAUCGUAAAACUCUGUUGUAAGGGAAGAACAAGUACGUUAGUAACUGAACGUACCUUGACGGUACCUUACCAGAAAGCCACGGCUAACUACGUGCCAGCAGCCGCGGUAAUACGUAGGUGGCAAGCGUUAUCCGGAAUUAUUGGGCGUAAAGCGCGCGUAGGCGGUCUCUUAAGUCUGAUGUGAAAGCCCCCGGCUCAACCGGGGAGGGUCAUUGGAAACUGGGAGACUUGAGUGCAGAAGAGGAGAGUGGAAUUCCAUGUGUAGCGGUGAAAUGCGCAGAGAUAUGGAGGAACACCAGUGGCGAAGGCGGCUCUCUGGUCUGUAACUGACGCUGAGGUGCGAAAGCGUGGGGAUCAACAGGAUUAGAUACCCUGGUAGUCCACGCCGUAAACGAUGAGUGCUAAGUGUUGGGGGGUUUCCGCCCCUCAGUGCUGCAGCUAACGCAUUAAGCACUCCGCCUGGGGAGUACGGUCGCAGACUGAACUCAAAGGAAUUGACGGGGACCCGCCCAGCGGUGGAGCAGUGGUUUAUUCGAGCACGCGAAGACCUUACCAAUCUUGACUCCUUGACACUCUAAAAUAAG
rnacentral:rRNA from 1 species